CUGAAAAAACAUGAAAAUAUAAACGCAGACUGGAAAAUUAUGUCUACACAAGUCACGCAUGGGUUAUGUUUUACCAUAUUGCCCUUGUGCAUCUCUGUUUAUGAACAUAUGUUGAUGUUUGGCUAUAAUGCACGCCUGCAAACCCUGAUAUUAACCUUAGGAAGGAGUAAACUUAGCCCGGCUUGAAGGACCAAUGUGCGGGAAAAGUCAUCCAGGUGUCCAAUGAAAUAUUGAAGCCGGCAACCAUCUACUUAUGUUAUCCCAACAACCGCCAAAGGAGAUUUAUAAUGACGACUAAAUGAAAAUAUGAUAACGACGUCAACUGGAUAGUAUGAAGUUUCAUUGCCCAAAGGAAACCAAUACCAAGAACUCAGAGCGUACAAGAUGGAAAAGUGUUUUGUCCAAAUUAAACUUACUGAAUUCAUUACUGACAGCCUGCGACAUA